rfam:Strongylocentrotus purpuratus Contig132044_fixed, whole genome shotgun sequence.
CCAACAGUCCUUUUCAGGACUACACACCCUCACAAAAGAAAGAUU